rnacentral:rRNA from 1 species
UACGAAGGGGGCUAGCGUUGUUCGGAAUUACUGGGCGUAAAGGGCUCGUAGGCGGCCAACUAAGUCAGGCGUGAAAUCCCUCGGCUUAACCGGGGAACUGCAUCUGAUACUGGAUGGCUUGAGUUCGGGAGAGGGAUGCGGAAUUCCAGGUGUAGCGGUGAAAUGCGUAGAUAUCUGGAGGAACACCGGUGGCGAAGGCGGCAUCCUGGACCGACACUGACGCUGAGGAGCGAAAGCCAGGGGAGCAAACGGG